GAUGAACGCUGGCGGCGUGCCUAAUACAUGCAAGUCGAGCGAACAGACGAGGAGCUUGCUCCUCUGACGUUAGCGGCGGACGGGUGAGUAACACGUGGAUAACCUACCUAUAAGACUGGGAUAACUUCGGGAAACCGGAGCUAAUACCGGAUAAUAUAUUGAACCGCAUGGUUCAAUAGUGAAAGACGGUUUUGCUGUCACUUAUAGAUGGAUCCGCGCCGCAUUAGCUAGUUGGUAAGGUAACGUCUUACCAAGGCAACGAUGCGUAGCCGACCUGAGAGGGUGAUCGGCCACACUGGAACUGAGACACGGUCCAGACUCCUACGGGAGGCAGCAGUAGGGAAUCUUCCGCAAUGGGCGAAAGCCUGACGGAGCAACGCCGCGUGAGUGAUGAAGGUCUUCGGAUCGUAAAACUCUGUUAUUAGGGAAGAACAAAUGUGUAAGUAACUAUGCACGUCUUGACGGUACCUAAUCAGAAAGCCACGGCUAACUACGU
rnacentral:rRNA from 1 species